GACGAACGCUGGCGGCGUGCCUAAUACAUGCAAGUCGAGCGAAGUUUUUCUGGUGCUUGCACUAGAAAAACUUAGCGGCGCACGGGUGAGUAACACGUAAAGAACCUGCCUCAUAGACUGGGACAACUAUUGGAAACGAUAGCUAAUACCGGAUAACAGUAUUUCUCGCAUGAGAGAUAUUUAAAAGUUGGUUCUGCUAACACUAUGAGAUGGCUUUGCGGUGCAUUAGCUAGUUGGUGGGGUAAAGGCCCACCAAGGCGACGAUGCAUAGCCGACCUGAGAGGGUGAUCGGCCACACUGGGACUGAGACACGGCCCAGACUCCUACGGGAGGCAGCAGUAGGGAAUCUUCCGCAAUGGGCGAAAGCCUGACGGAGCAACGCCGCGUGAGUGAAGAAGGAUUUCGGUUCGUAAAGCUCUGUUGUUAGGGAAGAAUGGAUAUGUAGUAACUAUACAUGUAAGAGACGGUACCUAACCAGAAAGCCACGGCUAACUACGUG
rnacentral:rRNA from 1 species